rnacentral:rRNA from 1 species
UACAGAGGGGGCAAGCGUUAUUCGGAAUUAUUGGGCGUAAAGGGCGCGUAGGCGGCUUUGCAAGUGACGGGUGAAAUCCCUCGGCUUAACCGAGGAACUGCCUGUCAAACUGCGAGGCUUGAGACCGGGAGAGGUGAGUGGAAUUCCCAGUGUAGCGGUGAAAUGCGUAGAUAUUGGGAGGAACACCAGUGGCGAAGGCGGCUCACUGGACCGGUACUGACGCUGAUGCGCGAAAGCGUGGGGAGCAAACAGG